AUGGUCAACCCCACUGUGUUCUUCGACUUCACUGUCAACAGCGAGCCCUUGGGCCGCAUCUCCUUCGAGCUGUUUGUGGACAAGUUUCCAAAGACAGCAGAAAACUUUCAUGCUGUGAGCACUAGAGAGAAAGGAUUUGGUUAUAAGGGUCCCUGCUUUCACAGAAUUAAUCCAGGGUUUAUGUGUCGGGGUGGUGACUUCUCAUGCAUAAUGGCACUUGUGGCAAGUCCAUCUACGGGGAGAAAUUUGAUGACGAGAACUUCAUCCUAAAGCAUACAGGUCCUGGCAUCUUGUCCAUGGCAAAUGCUGGGCCCAAAACAAAUGGUUCCCAGUUUGUCAUCUGCACUGCCAAGACUGAGUGGUUGGAUGGCAAGCAUGUGGUCUCUGGCAGGGUGAAAGAAGGCAUGAAUAUUGUGGAGGCCCUGGAGCACUUUGGGUCCAGGAAUGGCAAGACCAGCAAGAAGGUCACCAUUGCUGACAGUGGACAACUCAAAUAA
rnacentral:lncRNA from 1 species